CUAUAAAGCACUAUGUGACUUCAAGAUAUCUCUCACACUUUGAUUUUGUUUCUAAUUUUAGGAGGGAGAGGUCUCUGCUGGUAAAUGGAAGCUGAAAUGGAGAAGGUACAUUUUCAUUUGGUUCCGACAUCAUUCAUGGUUCUGUGCAGAGGAAAUUAGGCAUGUUUCCAGGGCCAACGGGCUCUGGAUUUUGGUGAAAAAGCCACGGUCACCAAUAAUUAAAACCAGUGACUAUGGUGGCCACUGUGGAGAAGGCUGGCCCCUCUCCAGGAAGAGGCCUGAAUGUUCUCUCUGCUGACCUCCUCAGAAAUAUGUGGCCUCUCGCUGGAGUUCAUGCGCUCGUCCUCUGGGAACGCAAAGGCAUGGCCAAGGUGGGAUGAGUGCCCGCGCUUGCUACCUCUGGCUGUUUCCUCCCGCAAGGAGGAAAGGGAGCUGGGCUCCCGAUGAGCAGCCAGCUGCAGCCUCAUUGCAAUAAAGUGUUAGAAUUAAUCAACUUCAUCUGUUUCCAUUUUGCUAAACUGCUACAUCAGACACCACAAAAUAAAUACAUUAACUAAACGCCCCACUCUCCUCACUCUAAAAAAGACACUUGAAAGAUGGAAAAAUGUUCAUCUGUUGCAGCCGGGAGGGUGGUGGUGGUGGGGAACCAGGGAAUAAUUAGAAUCUUGAAACGUCUGCCGCCGGAAUAGCAAUCAAAAGAGCAGAAAUGCCUAUAAAAAGUCUGUUCUUGGCACCGCUUAAUUGGUUCCCUUAUUUUUCUGCCUCUGAAGCUGUCUUUAGUGACACCUACUGAUAAGAGCCAAUCAGAACCGUGGCCGAAUUCCUCUGGGCUGGACCUGCCAACAAACUGCUCAGCCCUCCAGAUGUUACUGCUUUGUGAGAAAUGAAAACUCAAUAAACCAGGCUCACCCUUCCUCCUGGGGUGAACACAAAGACAGUCAGAUAUGGAAAAUCGCUGCUCAGCACCAUGAACAAUGCACUCGAAGGAGGGGAUGGGCCCAGUUGUAUUUGUCUUGGUGGAACAGACAACCAUGAAGCCUCACGCAAUUUUCGCUGGCAAUAGUUCAAUACGUGACGAUACAUUGCAACUGCUCUACAAAAGGGGGCCCUCAGCUGGGAAAAGUCCCAAGGCAGGGUUAAAGAACUGGUUAGAGAAGCUUGUAGAAAGGGUUAAAUACGUAUCACACAUGCCUUUACGAUGCUGAACGCUUCUCCACCUUUCGUGUUUUUCAGACUGCAUUCUUUUGUGUUACGUAAUAAAUCAGCAAGAUGCUGCAGUAAAUAGCCUCAUGGCACAUCCCAACCAUCAAUGAAUAAUAUCCAGCGAGCACUCGCCGUUCUGGAACAAAAUGAACCAAAGUGAAUUAGUUCCUGUCCUCCAGACCAGAGUGUCCCAAUCUUUCUUAGUACAGGACACACUUAUGAUCUUGCUGUGAGACAGUAAGAAAAUGUGUCACUGUCUUUUGUCCCUGAGCCAGUCACUCAUCCAGCUGUCUGUCCAUCGAACCUUCUGCCCACCCUGCUUUUGUUACCUGAACUGAAACUCACCGGGAGAAUGCAGAUAUAAGACCACCUCAUACGAUGUGACAGCAUCUCUGUCCUGGUGAAAUGCCAUGCAUGUCUUUGGCUAGCUUCACUAUGGUAGGGACAGUGGGACCUUGAGAGUUAAAUGUUUACUCAUGGAGGUUAGUUUCAUCUCACAAGUUGAAAAUCACAUCUUACACAUAAUGUCAUACUAUUUUAGAGGUAACAUUUUGAGCUCAUUCCUGACAAGAUCAUUUUGUUGAAUUCUUUACCUGCAUCUUGGGAACAGUCAUGCAUCAGCAGCCUGUUAUAAUGUGUGAGUUUUUUUGAAUUGCUCAAAGUAGUUUUCUAAAAAUGGUUGCCUUUGCAUCUAUUUUGUGGUUUGUAUUUGAGCACAUAGCACUGUUACUGGAAAUUGUAUUACCCCCGUCAUCCGUACCAUUUGCAUCGUAUUGGAUUACAAUUUUUUUUUAAAAAAAGAAAGAAUCAGCCUAAGUCACCACAAUAUUACUAUAUGAGGAAAAUUAGAAGUCUUAUUUAUUUUUUAUUUUUUACUUUUUUUUUAGGCUAGUCAAGUGAAGCAGUGGGAGUGGAGAAGGAACAAAGAAAUCUGUAACUGGUUGUGAUCAAUUAGUUGUAAACACCACUGCACUCGGACCAGCCUAGAAGUCUUAUUAAAAAAUGAUACACAGUAUGUAAAAUUGUUAAAUAACCCAGAAAAUGAUUAAAUCUGUGGCAAUUCUUUUAAAAAUUGCUCACAGAGAAUGAUUAAUGGGUGCAAGUUGGAUUAAUGACUUCUACGAUUUUAUUAUGCAAUAGGUUAACUAUGUUUGACAACAAUUGACUGAAUAUUAAGAAAUAAUAAAUGUUUGGAGUGAUAUGUUAAUUUUCCUAAUCUGAUCAUUAUACAUUAUAUACAUGUAUUGAAAUGCCACAAUAUGCUCCAUAAAUAUGUGCAAUUACUAUAUGUCAUUUGAAAAUAGAUUUUUAAAACUGCUCAUCUGAGAUGACUUCCAGAAGCUUCCAAGCCAGUAUUGAGCAAGGCUGUUCUGGCUCAAUGAAUCUGCAACCAAUAGCAUUUAUUAGUCAUAAUACACUAACUGUGAUAGUAUCUCCAUGAUAUUAGGUACAUUGGAAAGGCUCAAAUAUAAUGUUAUUCAUUUUUUUAAUAUACAGUAUUUGGGGAAACUGUCCAAUAUUCAGUGUAUCCCACGGCAUCUUCUUCUGCCAUGUUUAUACUUCAUCAUCUACACACCCUAAGUCUCGAGUAGCUGGCAGAAAGGAGUAUUUCCCUCUGAGGAUGACUUCAGGCCUCACAGAAUUGGGAUGUGCUAGUUAAGAGCACAACUUUAGAUUUUUGCUGCCUAAGAUGGACUAUAAUUUCCUAGAUAAUUUUGUAAUAGGCAAGACAUGGACUGAAUUCAUUGCACAAGUGACGAUGGGAUGGUGCUAAGUCUGCAAAUUUGCACAACGUUUAGGUGAAUUUCUGAGUGAAGUGUUUUUAAUUUCAGGUGGGAGAGUAUAUAAGCAGGUUACUGGAGCUGGGAAAAGUAUUAUCUCCUUUUUGGUUUAAGCCUGGAGGACUUAGUAGAGGAAGAGAAAUUUUUAGGUCUUUAACAAAGAGAAUCAGGGCAGAUCAUGGUGGAGUAGGUUUCCUAGGAGGUGCUGUACAUAAACUGCAAAGAAAAAGUUCAAAAGGAGGUUGGCUAAAAUGCAGCAGAGGCUGUGAAGAAAGAGAGUCACUAAAUCAGAGAUGGUGGUAGGUAACACUUAACAGGAAGAGAAAUGGGAACAUUCAUUGGAUCAGAAAAGAAAGGAAAGGAAGCUUAUGAAGAUAGGUAAGAAUAACAGUUAUUUUAAUAGAAAAUGGCACUGACUGAAAGGAAGUGCAGAGGGAGACCUGAAGUCCGUUGAAAAGUAGAGACAAUGUGGACGUAAAUGAUAAGCCAAAGCAUUAAGGACUAAGAUGAAAGCUUGACUUGGGAGCAGCAUUAGCACUGAUAAACUUACCUUGUACUUUUCACAACCUUGUGAUAAAGUUCACUUCAAUUAACAUAUUGAGUUAAGUUAGAUCUAUUGGUUUAUAAGGUCUUUGGAGAUUAGAUGCUGAUGAUUAGAUAUAGUCAAUCGUGGACUGUCAAUCAUUUGAUUAUUCAAAAAAUAUUUUGAUUUAAUGGAUAUUUAUUUAGUAUCUCUGUUUUGUGUCUCAAGCUCUAUACUAUAAAUAAAAAACUCUAAUGUCA